GACAGAGGGUGCAAACGUUGUUCGGAAUUACUGGGCGUAAAGGGCUCGUAGGCGGCCAACUAAGUCGGAUGUGAAAUCCCCAGGCUCAACUUGGGAACUGCAUCCGAUACUGGAUGGCUUGAAUUCGGGAGAGGGAUGCAGAAUUCCAGGUGUAGCGGUGAAAUGCGUAGAUAUCUGGAGGAAUACCGGUGGCGAAGGCGGCAUCCUGGACCGAGAUUGACGCUGAGGAGCGAAAGCUAGGGGAGCAAACGGG
rnacentral:rRNA from 1 species